rnacentral:rRNA from 1 species
AUUGAACGCUGGCGGCAGGCCUAACACAUGCAAGUCGAGCGGAGCGGCGGACGGGUGAGUAAUACCUAGGCAUCUGCCUGGUAGUGGGGGAUAACGUUCGGAAACGGACGCUCAUACCGCAUACUAUCAGAUGAGCCUAGGUCGGAUUAGCGAGUGGGUGGGGUAAUGGCUCACCAAGGCUACGAUCCGUAACUGGUCCGAGAGGAUGAUCAGUCGCACUGGAACCAUGACACGGUCCAGACUCCUACGGGAGGCAGCAGUGGGGAAUAUUGGACAAUUGGCGAAUGCCUGAUCUAGCCCUGACGAGUGUGUGAAGAAGGGCUUCGGAUUGUAAAGCACUUUAAGUUGGGAGGCGUUACCGACAGAGUAAGCACCGGCUAACUCUGUGCCAGCAGCCGCGGUAAUAC